rnacentral:rRNA from 1 species
GAUUUUGGCCAAGCAUCGUUGUCAAAGCCUGAUCUCAUCAGAUCUCAGAAGCUAAGCAAGCCUGAGUCUGAUUAGUGCUUCAGUGGAAGACUGCUGGGAAUUUCACGUGCCACAGUGG